GAUAUGAGCUCUCUACAGACAACAAUACUCCAGGGGUGCCUACUGCCUACUCAACAAUGGUUACCUCAGAGUUCCAACAUCCAAGGUGUACCAUACGUGGAAACUCAAGAACCUAGUUCUAUGUUCUCUGAUAUUAUCAGAAACGCACAAGGCACUAGCACAUCUCGUCAUGGGAAUCCAUUUGCUUAGACAGACAUCGGCCAAGGCAACGUGAUCGCUGCUAUUGAUACCAUGGAUGCUUGCAGGUUUUGAUAGUGCACUGACAAAACCUGUUUCCUGGUACACGAGACACGCGAAGCUGUAGAAAAGUUUCAAAGCAAGACGAUCGGGAGGCAUGUAUCAUGAUGAGACUUUGAAUUGCGUUACUAUAGUGACAUUAAUUUUUCCACUGUUUUGAGUAGUAUGUUGUUGUUUACAUCAACACCGUCGCAUUGAACAACUGUAUGAAGUUACAGAUUCAGUUACAGAUUCCCUCAGCGAAUAGAUCAAGCCUUCUUUUUUCUUGCCAUUUUUAAUGUGUGCCCUUUUAACCUGU